UACGUAGGGUGCAAGCGUUAAUCGGAAUUACUGGGCGUAAAGCGUGCGCAGGCGGUUGUGCAAGUCAGAUGUGAAAUCCCCGGGCUUAACCUGGGAACUGCAUUUGUGACUGCAUAGCUGGAGUGCGGCAGAGGGGGAUGGAAUUCCGCGUGUAGCAGUGAAAUGCGUAGAUAUGCGGAGGAACACCGAUGGCGAAGGCAAUCCCCUGGGCCUGCACUGACGCUCAUGCACGAAAGCGUGGGGAGCAAACAGG
rnacentral:rRNA from 1 species